UCCCUUCGGGGAUAGCGGCGGACGGGUGAGUAACACGUAGGCAACCUGCCUGUAAGACCGGAAUAACUAUCGGAAACGAUAGCUAAGACCGGAUAGCUGGUUUCUCCGCAUGGAGGAAUCAUGAAACACGGGGCAACCUGUGGCUUACAGAUGGGCCUGCGGCGCAUUAGCUAGUUGGUAGGGUAACGGCCUACCAAGGCGACGAUGCGUAGCCGACCUGAGAGGGUGACCGGCCACACUGGGACUGAGACACGGCCCAGAGUCCUACGGGAGGCAGCAGUGGGAUCUUGCGGAAAACUCGAGCCAU
rnacentral:sRNA from 1 species